rnacentral:lncRNA from 1 species
UGUGGGCAAAAAAAAAAAAAAGAAAAAAAAAGUGGAAAUCUGACUUACAUGAGGGUUUUCCCACUGUUUAGAGUGUGGUGCUGUGCUGCUCUGCAAAGUGCUUGCAGGUACCCACAUCCAUCCCACAUCCACAGCACUGGGGAGCAUUAGCUUUAAAACAAAAAAAGUGUACACAAUGUGGAACCUUGUACAAUCUCCUUGUGGUAGAAACAGAAGGUUGCAAAAUACAAACAUACCAAAUGCAAAAUCAGUUAUUAAAAUGGCCUCCCCAAUGGGAAGGGUGACCUGCUCUCUCUAGUUCAAAGCAGCAUUUCUCUCAGCACAGUGGCUGCCACCGUCUUGAAUUGGUCUUACCUUUUCCAGGGUUGCCCUCCAGUCUGUUCUUCACACCACAGCCAGAGUAAUAUGUCUCUAUAAGGUCUCUAGCAUUUAAAGAAAAUGGUGGUAUAAUAUUCAUGACAUAAAAUUGACCAUUUUAACCCCUUUUAAGUGUACAAUUCAGCGGCCUUAAGUACAUUCUCAUUGUUCUGCAGUCAUCACACCAUCCAUCUCCAGAACUGUUUCAUCCUCCCAGACCACAAUUCUGUACCUCUCCCUGCUGCCUCCCGCCCUGGGUAACCAUCAUUCUGCUUUCUGUCUCUAUGAACUUGACUGUUCCAGGUCCCUCACAGAAGUGGAGCUUUGCAACAUUUGUCCUUUUGUGCGUGGUUUAAUUUCAUUUAGCAUAAUGAGUUCAAGGUUCAUCCACAGGGUAUCAUGUGUGAUUUCCUUCCUUUCUGAAGCCAAAUAACAUUCCAUUUUUUUAUUUUUUAUUAUUAUUUUCUUUUUAGGGCUGCAUCCAUGGCAUAUAGAGGUUUCCAGGCUAGGAGUUGAAUCGGAGCCGUAGCUCUUGGUCUACACCACAGCCACAGCAACUUGGGAUCUGAGCUGUGUCUGCGACCUAAACCACAGCUCACAGCAACGCCGGAUCCUUAACCCACUGAGCAAGGCCAGGGAGCGAACCCGCAUCCUCAUGAGUGCUAGUCAGAUUUGUUAACUCCUGAGCCACGAUGGGAACUCCGUUUUGUAGUUUUUAAUUAAAUAUUUUUAAAUGAUACUGAUUCUAAUGGUUGUACAGAAUGAUAUUCUGAAAAUCCUUCCUUUCGAUUGCUCCCUACCACCUGCCUCGGGCCUGAACAUCUCCGGCCCCUGCUUAUUUUUCUAAUCUCAUCCUGGGCUUUCCCACUUGCCUUGCCAGGACAUGCAAACCUCUUCCCUCUCUCAGAAAUUUUACAUUGUUCUUCCCUCUGCCAGACCUGCCAACUUCUUCAUUUGUGAGAAUGGCUGCUUAUUAGUCUUUGGAUUUCUACCUCCAUAGGGUCCUUAACCAUUCUUUGUUAAGGAUGUCUCUCCUUUUUUUUGUCCUCCAGCACCUUGUUCUUUCCUGUCUAGCAUUUAUCACCAUCUGUAACGAUUUCAUGUCUUGGCUUGUUUCCUGCCAUUAUUCAGUAAAAUGUAAGUUCAAUGAGGCAAACCCAGUGGCUCUCUUUACUGUUGCUUCCCCAGAGCCUAGUAGGCUCCUAAGAAGGGCCCAGCAGAGAGUUAGUAAUCAAAUUGCAAAAUGGUCAUGGAAAUUCCUCAUAUAUUUGUAGCUUUUUCUUUCUACAAAUGAAGCACAUGUUCAGUUUCUCGAAUUUGUCAAUCAAAAGCCUUCAGAGACUAAAUUAUUGUCUAAAAUCUUGUAACGCUUUUCUUUUUUUGAACGUGUGCUUGAUAUGAACUAAAUUACAGAAUUUAAUAUUUACUAGGCUCAAAACUGCUAAACAGCUUAUAGCUAGAUUGGCUGCUUUCUAACAACUGGUGAUUAAAAUCACUUUCAUUUAAAAAAAAAAGAUCUGGUUGAUACAUCUAGAAGGCAAUAACCACCUAAUGCCAUUUAAUUUAAGCACUUUUGAUUCAUCCAGAAAGAAAAAUGUCAACCAUAAACUUUUAUUUAAAAAAUUAUACCUGUUUUUUCCCCAGUAUUCUUUAAUAAAUAAGAGAACACCAAUUUUACCAAAAUUGCCAAAUUUGCCAAAACAGGUAAUUUGAAGGGUAGGUGGGAGGGAACUUGAGAGGAUUUAAUCUCUACUAAUUUUAAUUCUGUUGUGCUCAUUUUGAGUGGGAGACUAGAAGUGCCAGCAUCAAUUAUAGGGUCUCUAAAUUAAAAGAGUAGGUAAAUCUCCUGGGAUUCAUUGAGUAAAAAUGUUUUUUCUAUGGAUUAUUUUAGAAUGAUCUAUUUGCGUAUUUACUGGUUGGUAUCUGGAUGUAGGUCAUCUUGAUUCAUUCUGCUCAACAUUUAAUGUGUCCUUUGACCUGAAAACUUCUCCCUUCUGAUCUAUUCCUAUCUUCUUUUGACAGUCUGUCUAGCAUCUAUUGUUUUACCUUUCUACAAUUUCUUUUUUCCAUUUUUUCUUUCUAUCUCUUUUGUUAUAUAUACCAUGGAGCUAUAUUCACGCUUUCUAAUUUAAUGGUUCUCCAACUCUUAUGUACCUCAGAAUCACCUGGAAGACUUAUUAAAAAUUAAUUGAUGGGGUUCCCAUUGUGGCUCAAUGGAAGCAUAUCCAACUAGUAUCCAUGAGGAUGUAGAUUCAAUCUCUGGCCUCGCUCCAUGGGUCAGGGAUCCGAUGUUGCCUGAGCUGUGGUGUAGGUCCCAGACUUGGCUCAGAUCUGGUGUGACUGCGGCUGUGGCCAGCAGCUGUAGCUCCGAUUUGACCCCUAGCCUAGGACCUUCCAAAUGCUGAGGGUGCGGCC